CAGUAGGGAGGAAAGGUGAUGGUUUAAUACGCCAUUACUGUGACGUUACCUACAGAAGAAGGACCGGCUAACUUCGUGCCAGCAGCCGCGGUAAUACGAGGGGUCCAAGCGUUAAUCGGAAUUACUGGGCGUAAAGCGUACGCAGGCGGUUCAUUAAGCCAGAUGUGAAAUCCCCGGGCUCAACCUGGGAAUUGCAUUUGGAACUGGUGAACUAGAGUCUUGUAGAGGGGGGUAGAAUUUCAGGUGUAGCGGUGAAAUGCGUAGAGAUCUGAAGGAAUACCGGUGGCGAAGGCGGCCCCCUGGACAAAGACUGACGCUCAUGUACGAAAGCGUGGGGAGCAAACAGGAUUAGAUACCCUGGUAGUCCACGCCGUAAACGAUGUCUACUCGGAGUUUGGUGCCUUGAGCACUGGGCUCCCAAGCUAACGCAUUAAGUAGACCGCCUGGGGAGUACGGCCGCAAGGUUAAAACUCAAAUGAAUUGACGGGGGCCCGCACAAGCGGUGGAGCAUGUGGUUUAAUUCGAUGCAACGCGAAGAACCUUACCUACUCUUGACAUCCAGA
rnacentral:rRNA from 1 species